UCUGGUGCGGUGCCUUCCGAGUCCCCUGGAAUGGGGCGCCAUAGAGGGUGAGAGCCCCGUAUGGUCGGCCGCCUAGCCUGUGUGAAGCUCCUUCGACGAGUCGAGUAGUUUGGGAAUGCUGCUCAAAAUGGGAGGUAAAUUCCUUCUAAAGCUAAAUACUGGCCAGAGACCGAUAGCGCACAAGUAGAGUGAUCGAAAGAUGAAAAGCACUUUGAAAAGAGGGUUAAACAGCACGUGAAAUUGUUGAAAGGGAAGCGCUUGUGACCAGACUUGCGCCGGGCUGAUCAUCCGGUGUUCUCACCGGUGCACUCUACCCGGCUCAGGCCAGCAUCGGUUUUAGCGGGGGGAUAAAGGCCCCGGGAACGUAGCUCCCCCGGGAGUGUUAUAGCCCGGGACGUAAUGCCCCCGCCGGGACCGAGGACCGCGCUUCGGCAAGGAU
rnacentral:rRNA from 1 species